rnacentral:tRNA from 1 species
AGCAGUGUGGCUUAGUGGAUAGAGCACAGACCUGGGAGUCAGAAGGACCAGGGUUCUAACCCCAGCUCUGCCA